AUUGAACGCUGGCGGCAGGCCUAACACAUGCAAGUCGAACGAGUGGCGGACGGGUGAGUAAUGUCUGGGAAACUGCCCGAUGGAGGGGGAUAACUACUGGAAACGGUAGCUAAUACCGCAUACCAUCGGAUGUGCCCAGAUGGGAUUAGCUUGUAGGUGCGGUAACGGCUCACCUAGGCGACGAUCCCUAGCUGGUCUGAGAGGAUGACCAGCCACACUGGAAAUGAGACACGGUGCAGACGCCGACGGGAGGCAGCAGUGGGGAAUAUUGCACAAGGGGCGCAAGCCUGAGGCAGCCGGGCCGGUUGUAUGAAGAAGGCCUUCGGUGUUGAAAGUACUUUCAGCGGGGAGGCGUUACCCGCAGAAGAAGCACCGGCUAACUCCGUGCCAGCAGCCGCGGUAAUUC
rnacentral:rRNA from 1 species